UACGUAGGGGGCAAGCGUUGUCCGGAAUCAUUGGGCGUAAAGCGCGUGUAGGCGGCUCGAUAAGUCUGCUGUGAAAGUUCAGGGCUCAACCCUGAAAUGCCGGUGGAAACUGUCGAGCUAGAGUACGGAAGAGGUGAGUGGAAUUCCUGGUGUAGCGGUGAAAUGCGUAGAUAUCAGGAGGAACACCGAUGGCGAAGGCAGGUCUCUGGGCUGACACUGACGCUCAUGCACGAAAGCGUGGGGAGCAAACAGG
rnacentral:rRNA from 1 species